rnacentral:rRNA from 1 species
CCUACGGGAGGCAGCAGUGGGGGAUAUUGCACAAUGGGGGAAACCCUGAUGCAGCGACGCCGCGUGAGUGAAGAAGUAUUUCGGUAUGUAAAGCUCUAUCAGCAGGGGAGAAAAUGACAGUACCUGACCAAGAAGCGCCGGCUAACUACGGGCCAGCAGCCGCGGUAAUACGUAGGGGGCAAGCGUUAUCCGGAUUUACUGGGUGUAAAGGGAGCGUAGACGGUUAUGUAAGUCUGGUGUGAAAGCCCGGGGCCCAACCCCGGGACUGCUCUGGAAACUGCCUGGCUGGAGUACAGGAGAGGUAAGCGGAAUUCCUAGUGUAGCGGUGAAAUGCGUAGAUAUUAGGAGGAACACCAGUGGCGAAGGCGGCUUACUGGACUGUAACUGACGUUGAGGCUCGAAAGCGUGGGGAGCAAACAGGAUUAGAUACCCGAGUAGUC